rnacentral:rRNA from 1 species
GUACUCAGUUCGGAUUGAAGGCUGAAAUUCGCCUUCAUGAAGCUGGAAUUGCUAGUAAUGGCAGGUCAGCAUACUGCCGUGAAUACGUUCCCGGGCCUUGUACACACCGCCCGUCACACCAUGAGAGUUGGGAAUACCCGAAGCCUGUGAGCUAACUGUAAGGAGGCAGCAGUCGAAGGUAGAGCCAAUGAUUGGGGUGAAGUCGUAACAAGGUAGC